rnacentral:rRNA from 1 species
GACGAACGCUGGCGGCGUGCUUAACACAUGCAAGUCGAACGAUGAAGCCCUUCGGGGUGGAUUAGUGGCGAACGGGUGAGUAACACGUGGGCAAUCUGCCCUUCACUCUGGGACAAGCCCUGGAAACGGGGUCUAAUACCGGAUAACACACUCUUGGGCAUCUGAGGGUGUUGAAAGCUCCGGCGGUGAAGGAUGAGCCCGCGGCCUAUCAGCUUGUUGGUGAGGUAGUGGCUCACCAAGGCGACGACGGGUAGCCGGCCUGAGAGGGCGACCGGCCACACUGGGACUGAGACACGGCCCAGACUCCUACGGGAGGCAGCAGUGGGGAAUAUUGCACAAUGGGCGAAAGCCUGAUGCAGCGACGCCGCGUGAGGGAUGACGGCCUUCGGGUUGUAAACCUCUUUCAGCAGGGAAGAAGCGAAAGUGACGGUACCUGCAGAAGAAGCGCCGGCUAACUACGUGCCAGCAGCCGCGGUAAUACGUAGGGCGCAAGCGUUGUCCGGAAUUAUUGGGCGUAAAGAGCUCGUAGGCGGCUUGUCACGUCGAUUGUGAAAGCUCGGGGCUUAACCCCGAGUCUGCGGUCGAUACGGGCUAGCUAGAGUGUGGUAGGGGAGAUCGGAAUUCCUGGUGUAGCGGUGAAAUGCGCAGAUAUCACGAGGAACACCGGUGGCGAAGGCGGAUCUCUGGGCCAUUACUGACGCUGAGGAGCGAAAGCGUGGGGAGCGAACAGGAUUAGAUACCCUGGUAGUCCACGCCGUAACGUGGGACUAGUGUGGCGACAUUCCACGUCGUCGUGCGCAGCUACGCAUUAAGUUCCCCGCCUGGGGAGUACGGCCGCCAAGGCUAAAACUCAAAGGAAUUGACGGGGCCCCGCCACAAGCAGCGGAGCAUGUGGCUUAAUUCGACCGCAACGCGAAGAACCUUACCAAAGGCUUGACAUACACCGGAAAGCAUUAGAGAUAGUGCCCCCCUUGUGGUCGGUGUACAGGUGGUGCAUGGCUGUCGUCAGCUCGUGUCGUGAGAUGUUGGGUUAAGUCCCGCAACGAGCGCAACCCUUGUUCUGUGUUGCCAGCAUGCCCUUCGGGGUGAUGGGGACUCACAGGAGACCGCCGGGGUCAACUCGGAGGAAGGUGGGGACGACGUCAAGUCAUCAUGCCCCUUAUGUCUUGGGCUGCACACGUGCUACAAUGGCCGAUACAAUGAGCUGCGAUACCGCAAGGUGGAGCGAAUCUCAAAAAGUCGGUCUCAGUUCGGAUUGGGGUCUGCAACUCGACCCCAUGAAGUUGGAGUUGCUAGUAAUCGCAGAUCAGCAUUGCUGCGGUGAAUACGUUCCCGGGCCUUGUACACACCGC